UACGGGGGGGGUAAGCGUUGUUCGGAAUUACUGGGCGUAAAGGGCUCGUAGGCGGCCAACUAAGUCACACGUGAAAUCCCUCAGCUUAACUGGGGAACUGCGUGCGAUACUGGAUGGCUUGGAUUUGGGAGAGGGAUGCGGAAUUCCAGGUGUAGCGGUGAAAUGCGUAGAUAUCUGGAGGAACACCGGUGGCGAAGGCGGCAUCCUGGACCAAUAUUGACGCUGAGGAGCGAAAGCCAGGGGAGCAAACGGG
rnacentral:rRNA from 1 species